AUUUAUAUAGUUUAACUAUAAAACAUUACAUUUUCAAUGUAAAAUUAAAAUUCUUAUUUUUGUAAAUA
rnacentral:tRNA from 1 species